ACAGAGGCAAACAGAGGUGACUUGGGGAGCUCCACCUCCUGUCAGGGUCCCAUGUCGGCGUGGACCAGUAGGUUCUACCAGACCUAAGUACACAGAGAGCUCUGUAACUCUCAGGGAAUCUCCUCCCUCGGUGUCUGAGGCUUUCCUCUUCUGGCUAUGAGCAUCCGCUACACUCCCUGCCAUGUAGGAUGUGUAACCUCACCACACAGGAUCGGCAAAGACAUAAAAGGGCCAGGUAUUUUCAGCACCUGUGGCCACACACCAACUCAGACAGAACCACCCACAUGCGAGGGCUACGCAGCCGGGUCGGAAAAUACAGCCAGUUGAAUGGACCGAGAGCGCAAGUGACCCUGAGGCCUCCCUCCGGAACUGUCUCCGAGCCCAGGGAGGUAUCAGGCAUUGGAACUGCACCAAGGGGAAUCCCGUCCCUCGCGCGCGUGGGGAGACCAACCGUAGUCAGUCAUCCGGGCCAAGCACAUUUCGCUGGCCCCGCUUACCCUGCACGGCUCCCUCGGCCCCUCGGGAGAGGUAGUGGAGUAGCCGGAGGCAGACGGCGACCACACACCGCGCGCCCAGAUCUCCAGCGCCUGUCGCGUCCACAGAGCCUUAACGCGUGGAAGCAAACCCCAGCAGACGCCGAGAGGCUGUCUCCGCCUACCUGCACUUUGCGUCACCGGGUGGGCGGGACGGCAUUGAUGCGCGUGCGCCCUGGCGUUUGCCAGCCACGCAGGCGUAAUAGCCAUGUGCUGGUCCGAAGUGGUUUGGUUGGGUGAUUUUCUUUCUGCCAGUAAGCGGCUCUUGGAGCUCCUGCUUAUCUUGGAUCCUUCUAACAAGUCCUGAGGUGUGGGAGGAACGUCUUGACUAGUGCAGGAGUUACUUCAAUCCCAUCCGACCUUGUCCUUCUGUAGGCUUUCCUCAUGGAUCCCUCCACACCCGAGUAGCUUCCUCUUUUACUUUCAAGGGAAUUCGUGAUAGGAUAUACAUUCACAAUAGAGAACGCGGUGCUAUCAAGCAUCCUUUAUCCUUGGCCAUAUUUUCUGAUGUCUUCCUAGAAGCCACAAGUUUGUCAGCCCCUAACUGCAGCGAGACUCCAAAUGUAUGUCCCUAAUUCAUCUGUGUGAAUGUCUCCCAAGUUGGUUGCCUUGACUCCGCUGAACCAGGACUCCUCUUCUUCCUGCCCACGUGAUGGCAUCUAAACAUUGUGGUGCAGGGCACUGGCUUUGUUCCUGGAGGACGUCCCUGACUGUCGUCUGGGAAAACCUAAAAGCAAGAAUUUCUAAUGACAAGACGGGGUACUCAGGGAGUGAGUGGGUGGAUGCUAACCACAGAGUGCGGGGGAUACUGGUGAAAGUAGGGUUGGCAAUCGCUAGUAGUCCCGCGAAACCAUUGUAAAUGGCCACGUGAGCAGCUCAUUGGACCUCGCCUUGUCUUACUAAUAAAAUCACCAAGAUCUGGUU
rnacentral:lncRNA from 1 species